CUGAUUUGCGCAGAAUGAACCAGUGGGAAACCUAUAGAGCAUUAUAAUCUUAUGGGACCACAGUGUAUAUGCGGUCUGUUGUUGACCAAAAUAUUGUUGUGUGACACAUUAAUGGGGUGAGGAUAUUAUUCUCUAUUAUUAUCUUAUGUAAUUUUUAAAUGCCAUCAGAUAAAACACAGAAGGGAGCACAGAGCUGCCUGGUCCUGCAGCUCUCCUGGAGUGAGGUGGUGCUGCUAACCACUGGAAGCUGAAGUCCAGAGGCUCUAUUCAGUCAAGGGGUGAUGAACUCUCUUUGGGUCUGGAGACAGGCUGGAACUGGGAUGAGGUAUGGAGACCCUGCCAUUUACGACAACGUGGAUGUAUCUGCAGGACAUUAAGACAAGUGCAAUAAGCAAGACACGGAAAGAAAAUAUAGCAUGGUCUCUCUUAUAUGUGGAAUUUUAAAAAUUAACUCUGAAUACUUUGGAUUAAACUGAUGCAGCAGUCAUCCAAGAGAUGUCCACAUAUGUACUCCUGUUAAUGUUAGUUCCUUUCAUCCAAGCCAUCAGAGGUUCUCCCUGGAUCUCAUUUUUGGGGUCAGUGCUAGCAUACUGUCUAUUAGAUUAAAUGAAGCUGUAAGCAUCUUUGAAGUACAAAUGAUACUUGGAAAGUAAAUGAAACUGGGAAUACUUGCAAGUAAAAUAUGGGAAGUCAAAGAGAUUAAAGGAUGAGAACCAGAAAUUGCUUAUGGCCAGUGUCCUGAGUAAGCCUCAGAAUCGCAUCCUAGAAGCAUCAAGUUCUUGUGUUACCCUAUGGAUCUAAAAAACGACUUCCUUAGUUUGAUGUAGUCUGCAGACAUCUCAUCAUCACAAAAACUUGAAAGCACUUACAGCACUAAGAAACUACCUUUGCAGAUUGUAAAAAAAGAUAGAAUCCUACUUAGUGUUUUGAUCACACCUGCCUAUUUCCCCAAGGUUUUACUGCAGGGUUAAAGAAUGAAUAAGCAUCUAGUUAUAUUUAAUAAACUCCAUGCCUUAUGGCUGAUUCGGUGCCUACUAUGUUUCAGACAUUGUUCCAGGCUCUGAGUUACACCUGCGGUCAAAAUGGACAAAAUCUUGAUCCAGUUGAGGUGAAAUUGAAGAAGGGAGAAAUGCACAGCAAAGAAAUGGAUACAUAAAUAUUCAGUGUCUCAGGAGGUAAUAGGUCUUCUGGGAGAAAUACAAAGCAGGAUAUAACGGAAAUGUGAUAGGGCUGCUAUUAAUACUAUUGCUAAAUUAAUUAGAGA
rnacentral:lncRNA from 1 species